UCCCUGGUGGCUCAGAUGGUAAAGCGUCUGCCUACAAUGCAGGAGAUCUGGGUUCAAUGCCUGGGUGGGGAA
rnacentral:tRNA from 1 species